GAAUUAUCUUUCACGACUACUACGCAGUUUUGUAACGAUAUCCUUUAUAAAGCAUUUUUGUAAGUAUGCAAUGAUGAAAGUAUUAUGUAUUAAUACUACAGGCUUUCGUUGACACUGUAGAAUUCAAGACACCGACUUGUUUUUUCUUUGUAAAGAUCGGUGGGCGAUCCUUCGGUAUAUGUACCGGAAGUGGCUUUGUUUACAUUUCUGAAUAUAACAGAAACCCUUUUCUCCCAACCCUAACUCCUCAUAUAUAUAUAAAAAAAAAAAACACUAUAUUAUAACUGUACUAAGGUAGCAUAACAAUUUGCUCUGUAAAUUGGGGCUAGAAUGAAUGGUUUGACGAAAAUUUAGCUGCCUCUAUACACUUUCUUGAAAUGUAUCAGGUGCUUCCGGUACCUAUUCCGAAGUUACGCCUUUCGGUAUUUUGCCCACAGUCAACUAAAAUGAAAGCUUUUUUUAGGUUGGAAGAAAGGCGUUAGUGUUAAUUCUAUUCUCCUAUUCUAAAUUGCUUUAAUCAGUAUCGUAAAAAUAUAUCCAAGACAGAAGUAAAUUAAUAUUCCAUUAAUGAAUAUUAUUAGAAUAAACUUGGUGGUUUGUCUUGUUAUUUGUUUAAAUAUUUCCAGUCUUUCAUCUCAAACCAUGUAUAGAACUAUUGAAUUAAUAUCGACUUCUGACCAGCAACAUAAAACAUAUUUUGGCCAGUUUACAUGCUAAAGGGUUAAAUUGGGGACCCACAGUAAAUUAAGGGUCCAUGAAAAAAUUUUGCUCCAGAUGUAUUUAUUGCAAGAAACAACUGGAUUCCUUUCUCUAAUGUUUUACAGGAGUUCCACCCUACACAAGUUAACGUGUAAAAACGAAAUAGGGAUUUAGGAAGAAGUGUCUAUAAAAGCUAGUUUUUAACCCUUUAGUGUUCACAUUAUUCUGCCAAAAUUAAUCCUUUUUCAUCCACUUUGUUUUGAACUAAUCAUGCAUUAUCUUGUAGUUAUGAGAUUUUGGUGAGGUAGCUGUUAAUUUUUAAAACGACAUUGUAGGGUUGGUGUAAGAGACCAGAUCUGGCCAGUUUGAACAUAAAACAGGCAGAUUACUUUUGGCGGGAUAUGGCCGGUUUAAAUGCUAAAGGGUUAAACAUAGAAUGGCGAUGAGGGUCCAUGAGAAGCAAAUUGUAAUCAAAUGGGUCCAUAGGUAAAAAAGGGUUGAGAAUCGGUGAUUUAGACGAAGGUUUGUAUCUAUAGUCUAUCAUUAUAGAAGUGUUGUAAAAUUUCUACUGUGUCUUCUAAAGCUUAUACUCUUCUUCUGUUAUUUCAGAAUACCAGAUGGUGUUGAAAUUAAAGAACAGUUUUGGUUACCUUGGAUACGUCAUCAAUAUUUAUUGUUUUCUAAAACACAAGGAAGAUGUUAUACAGAAGGGAUUAACCAUGUUUAUAUAAAUCUAUGUUACAGUGCCCGUGAAAUAUUUCCUAUGAAAUUAUUAACAAAACUUCUCUGCUUCACUGUCUUGCAAGACGAGGUGGUUUUCCGUUCAAUUAAACUGGUAUUAUAUUAUGGGAGCAUCCUGAAUACCCCUCGUGUGAUUGAAGGUGGACUAACCCAUUACAAUGAAUAAGAACUGAGUGAGCUGUCAAGGCGUAGUUGAGGGGUGUCAGUCCAACUGUUUUGGUUAAACAGUCAGUAGUUGAACAGUGAAUACUGUGAAACAUAUUUCUCUACUACCCACAAGGGGACAAACAAGGACAGACACAUGGAUUAAGUCGAUUACAUCGACCCCAGUGCGUAAUUGGUACUUAAUUUAUCGACCCCGAAAGGGAUGAAAAGCAAAGUCAACCUGGGCGGAAUUUGAACUCAAAAUGUAAUGACAGACGAAAUACCUAUUUCUUUACUACCCACAAG
rnacentral:lncRNA from 1 species